UCGAACGAUGAACCACUUCCGGUGGGGAUUAGUGGCGAACGGGUGAGUAACACGUGGGCAAUCUGCCCUUCACUCUGGGACAAGCCCUGGAAACGGGGUCUAAUACCGGAUAACACUCCUGCCUGCAUGGGCGGGGGUUAAAAGCUCCGGCGGUGAAGGAUGAGCCCGCGGCCUAUCAGCUUGUUGGUGAGGUAAUGGCUCACCAAGGCGACGACGGGUAGCCGGCCUGAGAGGGCGACCGGCCACACUGGGACUGAGACACGGCCCAGACUCCUACGGGAGGCAGCAGUGGGGAAUAUUGCACAAUGGGCGAAAGCCUGAUGCAGCGACGCCGCGUGAGGGAUGACGGCCUUCGGGUUGUAAACCUCUUUCAGCAGGGAAGAAGCGAAAGUGACGGUACCUGCAGAAGAAGCGCCGGCUAACUACGUGCCAGCAGCCGCGGUAAUACGUAGGGCGCAAGCGUUGUCCGGAAUUAUUGGGCGUAAAGAGCUCGUAGGCGGCUUGUCACGUCGGGUGUGAAAGCCCGGGGCUUAACCCCGGGUCUGCAUUCGAUACGGGCUAGCUAGAGUGUGGUAGGGGAGAUCGGAAUUCCUGGUGUAGCGGUGAAAUGCGCAGAUAUCAGGAGGAACACCGGUGGCGAAGGCGGAUCUCUGGGCCAUUACUGACGCUGAGGAGCGAAAGCGUGGGGAGCGAACAGGAUU
rnacentral:rRNA from 1 species